rnacentral:tRNA from 1 species
GCCGAAGUGGCGGAAUAGGCAGACGCGCCAGACUCAAAAUCUGGUUUCUUCACGGGAGUGCCGGUUCGACCCCGGCCUUCGGCA